rnacentral:rRNA from 1 species
AGUGAACGCUGGCGGUAGGCCUAACACAUGCAAGUCGAACGGCAGCACAGUAAGAGCUUGCUCUUACGGGUGGCGAGUGGCGGGCGGGUUAGGAAUACAUCGGAAUCUACUUUUUCGUGGGGUAUCACGUAGGGAAACUUACGCUAAUACCGCAUACGACCUACGGGUGAUAGCAGGGGAUCUUCGGACCUUGCUCGAUUGAAUGAGCCGAUGUCGGAUUAGCUAGUUGGCGGGGUAAAGGCCCACCAAGGCGACGAUCCGUAGCUGGUCUGAGAGGAUGAUCAGCCACACUGGAACUGAGACACGGUCCAGACUACUACGGGAGGCAGCAGUGGGGAAUAUUGGACAAUGGGCGCAAGCCUGAUCCAGCCAUACCGCGUGGGUGAAGAAGGCCUUCGGGUUGUAAAGCCCUUUUGUUGGGAAAGAAAAGCAGCAGGUUAAUACCCCGCUGUUCUGACGGUACCCAAAGAAUAAGCACCGGCUAACUUCGUG